rnacentral:rRNA from 1 species
UACGUAGGCAGCGAGCGUUGUUCGGAAUUACUGGGCGUAAAGAGUGUGUAGGCGGUGCUCCCAGUCUGUUGUGAAAUCUCCCGGCUUAACUGGGAGGGUGCAGCGGAAACUAGAGUGCUAGAGGGUGGGAGAGGUAAGCGGAAUUCCUGGUGUAGCGGUGAAAUGCGUAGAUAUCAGGAGGGACACCUGUGGUGUAGACAGCUUACUGGACCACUUCUGACGCUGAGACACGAAAGCGUGGGUAGCAAACAGG